rnacentral:rRNA from 1 species
ACGCUCGACACCUACGGAAGGCAGCAGUGGGGAAUAUUGCACAAUGGGGGAAACCCUGAUGCAGCGACGCCGCGUGAGCGAAGAAGUAUUUCGGUAUGUAAAGCUCUAUCAGCAGGGAAGAAACUGACGGUACCUGACUAAGAAGCACCGGCUAAAUACGUGCCACNGCGCGAUNUGAGCGGCGNGNGAG